CUGAAAAAAUACUAGCUAUGACGGAGCCCAGAUAAAU
rnacentral:sRNA from 1 species